UGGGGAAUAUUGGACAAUGGGCGCAAGCCUGAUCCAGCCAUGCCGCGUGAGUGAUGAAGGCCCUAGGGUUGUAAAGCUCUUUCGCCAGGGACGAUAAUGACGGUACCUGGAGAAGAAGCCCCGGCUAACUUCGUGCCAGCAGCCGCGGUAAUACGAAGGGGGCUAGCGUUGUUCGGAAUCACUGGGCGUAAAGCGCACGUAGGCGGAUCUUUAAGUCAGGGGUGAAAUCCCGAGGCUCAACCUCGGAACUGCCUUUGAUACUGGGGAUCUUGAGUCCGGAAGAGGUAAGUGGAACUGCGAGUGUAGAGGUGAAAUUCGUAGAUAUUCGCAAGAACACCAGUGGCGAAGGCGGCUUACUGGUCCGGAACUGACGCUGAGGUGCGAAAGCGUGGGGAGCAAAC
rnacentral:rRNA from 1 species